UUAAAUUGAAGAGUUUGAUCAUGGCUCAGAUUGAACGCUGGCGGCAGGCCUAACACAUGCAAGUCGAGCGGUAGCACAGAGAGCUUGCUCUCGGGUGACGAG
rnacentral:rRNA from 4 species